UCAACUCAAAUUUGUAUGCAGUUGGAACAGCGCCCCUAGCGGCAAACGUACGCAAACGUUCCAACUGCAUACAAAUUUGAGUUG
rnacentral:pre_miRNA from 1 species